rnacentral:rRNA from 1 species
AUUGAACGCUGGCGGCAGGCCUAACACAUGCAAGUCGAACGGAGCGGCUGCCGGGUAAGUAAUGCCAAGGACUCUGAAUGGUAGUGGAGGAUACCGUUCGCAAACGGGCACUAUUACCGAAUCCUCUCACAUGAGCCUAGGUCGGAUUCGCUAGUUGGUGGGGUAAAGGCAUACCAAGGCGACGACCCUGAACUGGUCUGAGAGGGUGAACCUUCACACUGGAACUGAGACACGGGCCAGACUCCUAAGGGAGGCAGCAGUGGGGAAUAUUGGACAAGGGGCGAAAGCCUGAUCCAGCCAUGCCGCGUGUGUGAAGAAGGUCUUUGGAUUGUAAAGCACUGAAAGUUGUGAGGCGUUACCAUCAGAAUAAGCACCGGCUAACGUCGUGCCAGCAGCCGCGGUAAUAC